rnacentral:rRNA from 1 species
UACGUAGGGGGCGAGCGUUAUCCGGAUUUACUGGGCGUAAAGCGCGUUAAGGCGGCUCUUUAAGUUGAGGGUGAAAUUUCGGGGCUCAACCCCGAAACUGCCUCCAAUACUGGAGAGCUUGAGUGCGAGAGAGGAAGGUGGAAUUCCCGGUGUAGUAGUGAAAUGCGUAGAGAUCGGCAGGAACACCCAGGGGGAAACCAGUGGACUGGGCAGGAGCUGACGCUCAGGUGCGAAAGCGUGGGGAGCGAACCGG